ACACGCGGCAUGGCUGGAUCAGGGUUCCCCCCAUUGUCCAAUAUUCCCCACUGCUGCCUCCCGUAGGAGUCUGGGCCGUGUCUCAGUCCCAGUGUGGCGGAUCAUCCUCUCAGACCCGCUACAGAUCGUCGCCUUGGUAGGCCUUUACCCCACCAACUAGCUAAUCCGACUUAGGCUCAUCUAUUAGCGCAAGGUCCGAAGAUCCCCUGCUUUCUCCCGUAGGACGUAUGCGGUAUUAGCAUUCCUUUCGGAAUGUUGUCCCCCACUAAUAGGCAGAUUCCUAAGCAUUACUCACCCGUCCGCCGCUAAGAUAAGGUGCAAGCACCUCAUCUCCGCUCGACUUGCAUGUGU
rnacentral:rRNA from 1 species